rnacentral:rRNA from 1 species
AAUGGACGCUGGCGGCGUGGUUAAGACAUGCAAGUCGAACGGUUUUUCAGGUGUAGCAAUACAUUUGAAAAGCAGCGGCGAACGGGUGCGUAACACGUGAACAAUCUACCUUUUAGUGUGGAAUAGCUCGGCGAAAGCCGGAUUAAUACCGCAUGUGGUUGCUGCUCGCAUGAGUGGCAUACUAAAGUCAGGGACCGCAAGGCCUGACGCUAUUAGAGGAGUCGCGGCCUAUCAGCUAGUUGGCGAGGUAACGGCUCACCAAGGCUAAGACGGGUAGCUGAUCUGAGAGGGUGGUCCCCCACACUGGAACUGACAAACGGUCCAGACUCCUACGGGAGGCAGCAGUAAGGGAUAUUGCGCAAUGGGCGAAAGCCCUGACGCAGCAACACCGCGUGGAGGAUGAAGGCCUUCGGGUCG